rnacentral:rRNA from 1 species
UACGAACUGUGCGAACGUUAUUCGGAAUCACUGGGCUUAAAGGGCGCGUAGGCGGGCUGUCAAGUCUGGGGUGAAAUGCCGCGGCUCAACCGUGGAACUGCCUUAGAUACUGACGGCCUCGAGGAGGGUAGGGGCAUGCGGAACUGUAGGUGGAGCGGUGAAAUGCGUUGAUAUCUACAGGAACUCCGGUGGCGAAAGCGGCGUGCUGGACCUUUUCUGACGCUGAGGCGCGAAAGCUAGGGGAGCAAACGGG